AACGGCGCCGCCCCAGCAGCCCCAGGAACUGCUGCGGAAGCGGAACGGAGCCACUCCCCCUGUUUGCGCUGAGUGAGGAGCCGCGCCUCUCUCCGCACUGCGUCUGCGCGCCACCGCCGCCGCCGCCUCCUCUCCGCCCGCGCUGCGCGCCAACGCGGACGCCGAGCGGGCCUAUCUAGCGCUGCACGCCGCCGCCCGCCACGCCAGCCGCACCUUCACUUGGACUCUUGGAGUGGCGUCGGCUGCGCCUGCUCCAGCCUACCCAGCGCUCACCAUGUCGUCGUCCCUGGCGUCCUCCUCGUACCGCCGCAGGAUCCUCGACUCCAAGGCGGCGGCCUCCCACGCGCUCUACUCCUGCCGGCUCCCCUCCCGCUCCAGGCAGCCGGCCCACACCAGGAUUGGCGCCGCCGCCAGAGUUCAUGGAGUUGAGAGUAGCAUCAUCAGUGUCCUAACUAUGCAUCACUGGGAGACCUUGAAUCACAUGGCGUACAAGUUCGGGAAGCUUGACAAGGUUCAUGGAAAGUUAGCCUUGAAGAUACUGGGUUCUAUUGUGCAACAAUCAGGUUUGGAGCGAAUCACUCAUGUUUACUGCCUGGCAGCUCAUAUCCUCAUCCAAGCUCAAAUGCAUUCACAAGCAAUGUCAGUGUUGAAGCAUCUUGCCAUGGCGGGCUUCUCUUGCUCUGCUAUAUUUAGCUCCCUUCUCCGAACCAUCUCGCGUUGUGAUUCCAGUCCCAUGGUUUUUGACCUUCUUAUCAAUGCAUAUCUAAAGGAAAGAAAAGUUGUUGAUGCAAGUAAGGCAAUUUUAUUGAUGGAUGACUGUGGAUUUAAGGCUUCAACUCACACCUGCAAUGCUGUCCUUAACGCUCUUGUGGAAGUUGGGGAAUCAAAACAUGUUUGGUUCUUCUUAAAAGAAAGCUUGGCCCGGAAGUUCCCAUUGGAUGUCACCACUUGUAAUAUUGUACUGAAUUAUUUUUGCCUUGAUGGUAACCUUAAAAAGGCUAAUCUUAUGCUACAAAAGAUGAAGAGUCGGUCCAUAUCAAACGGUGUUACUUAUAACACAAUACUUUACUGGUAUGUUAAGAAGGGAAGGUUCAAGGCUGCCAUGCGUGUCUUAGAAGAUAUGGAGAAGAAUGGUGUACAGGCAGAUGUAUAUACUUAUAACAUCAUGAUUGAUAAGUUAUGUAAAAUGAAGAGGAGUACGCGUGCUUACCUUUUGCUCAAAAGAAUGAGGGGAAAUAACUUAUCACCUGAUGAGUGUACAUAUAAUACUUUGAUCAAAGGAUUUUUCGAUGAAGGUAAGAUGAAACUUGCUAUCUAUAUCUUCAAUGAAAUGCUGAAACAGAGCUUGAAGCCAAGCCUAGCUACUUACACCACCUUGAUUGAUGGGUACUGCCGAAGUGGGGUAACUGGUGAAGCUUUAAGAGUUCUGUAUGAAAUGCAAGUUGCUGGUGUGAAACCAAAUGAAUUAACUUAUAGUGCAAUGCUGAAUGGUUAUUGCAAAGCUUCCAUGCCGGGACAUGCACUGAAUCUUAUUGAAGAUAUGAAAGCAAGAGGCACAACAAUCAAUAGGACUAUGUAUACUAUCCUGAUUGAUGGUUUCUGUCAGCUAGGAGUGGUUUCUAAAGCCAAGCAAAUUUUAAAGAGUAUGCUUGUGGUUGGGAUCAGUCCAGAUGUUGUUACUUAUUCAGCAUUGAUCAAUGGUAUGUGCAAGAUGGGUAAGUUGGACGAAACAAAAGAGAUAUUAUCAAGGAUGCAUAAAACAGGAGUUUUGCCUAAUGAGGUUCUUUAUACAACUCUAGUUUGCUAUUGUUGCAAGGCUGGAUAUAUCGGAGAAGCACUAAAGUAUUUUGUUGAUAUAUAUCGGAGGGGCCUAGCUGCCAAUUCAUUCAUCCAUAAUACAUUGUUAUGUACGCUGUAUCGAGAAGGAAUGGUUACACAGGCUGAGCAAUUUAAACAAUACAUGUCUAGGAUGAAGAUAUCAUUUGAUGUUGCCUCUUUCAACUGUAUAAUAGACUUUUACUGCACCAGAGGUAAUAUGCAUGAGGCAUUCUCAGUGUAUGAUAAUAUGCAUAGAUUUGGUUGUUCUCCAAAUGUUGGCACAUAUAGGAAUUUGCUUAGAGGGUUAUGCAAGGGCGGCCACUUGGUACAAGCAAAGGAGUUCAUGGCUUGCCUUGUUGACAUACCUUCUGCCAUUGAUCAGGAAACCUUCAAUGCAUUACUUCUGGGGAUUUGCAAAGACGGAACUCUAGAUGAAGCUCUGGAUUUAUGUGAGAAAAUGGUUACAAGUAACUUUCUACCUGACAUCCAUACUUACACUGUUCUUCUUAGUGGUUUUUGCAGAAAAGGCAAAAUUGUUCCUGCAGUCAUCCUGUUGCAGAUGAUGUUGGAGAAAGGAUUUGUCCCUGAUAUUGUUUCAUAUACCUGUUUGUUGAAUGGCUUGAUCAAGGAAGGUCAAGUUAAGGUUGCUUCUUACCUGUUCCAGGAGAUCAUAUGCAAGGAAGGCAUGUAUGCAGAUUGUAUUGCCUACAACUCAAUGAUGAACGGGUACCUAAAGGCAGGAAUGAUACAUAAAGUAGAUAUGACGAUUCGGGAUAUGUAUCAUAAUGAGGUUUAUCCAAACCCAGCCAGCUAUAACAUUCUUAUGCAUGGGCACAUCAAGAAGGGACAUUUGUCAAGAUCUGUUUAUCUAUACAAAGAUAUGGUAAGGAAAGGGAUUAGGCCGAACAAUGUGACAUAUCGUUUGCUUAUCCAUGGAUUUUCGGAACAUGGUAUGACUGAAAUUGCGAUUAAGUUCUUGGACAAGAUGGUCUUAGAACGCAUUUAUCCGGAUAGAUUAACAUUUGAUGUACUCAUAACUGUAUGUAGUGAAAAAUCUAGGAUGUCCAAUGCUUUACAGCUCUUCAACUGCAUGAAGCGGUUAUAUAUGUCACCUAGCAGUAAAGCAUACAGUGCCAUGAUAAAUGGAUUAAUCAGGAAAAAUUGGCUGCAGCAGAGUUGUGAUGUUUUACGUGACAUGGUCGAGAGUGGACUUGAACCGAAUCAUACACACUAUAUUGCAUUAAUCAAUGCAAAAUGCAGGCUUGGGGACAUCAAUGGAGCAUUCAGGCUGAAAGAGGAAAUGGCAGCUCUUGGUGUUGUGCCAGCUGAAGUUGCUGAAAGCUCAAUUGUUAGAGGUCUUAGUAAAUGUGGAAAGGUUGAAGAGGGUAUCAUAGUUUUCUGUAGCAUAAUACGGGCUGGAAUGGUGCCAACCAUUGCUACUUUCACUACCCUAAUGCAUGGUCUCUGUAAAGAAGGCAAGAUUACAGAUGCUCUGCACCUCAAAGGGUCAAUGGAGUUGUAUGGAUUGAAGAUUGAUGUAGUCACUUAUAAUGUUCUAAUCACAGGUUUAUGCAACAACAAGUGUGUUUCUGAUGCGUUAGAUCUUUAUGAAGAGAUGAAAUCUAAGCAACUUCGGCCGAACAUUACAACAUACACCACAAUGAUUGGGGCUAUCUAUGCAACAGGCAGAAUGUUGGAAGGAGAGAAACUACUGAAUGAUAUAGAGGAUAGGGGCUUUGUUCCCUCAUAUAAGGAUCAAAUUCUUGAAUGGAGGAUGGAGAAUGCAAUGAGAAGGUUGAACGUGAUAAGAAAUUGCAAAAAGGAAAUAACUUCUAAGAAUGAGGUCGAGCUAUUACAUGCAGAUCAUGAAUCCAUGCAUAAAGCUGCUGAAGACUGAAAUCCUCGUAAAUUAACCUUUUCUACUUCAAAGGAAGUGGUAUGUUUGAUCGAUAUGCAGGUUCAUAGUUUGAUGGGGAUGCUUAUAUUUGUUGAUGACACUGAGUUUUAAAUAAAUAUAGAAGAUGAAGACUUUGGUGUCAUAAUUUACGAAAAAGCAAAAGACAGACUAAGAUGAUGGUAGCCAUGCAUAGAAAACAUCAGUACGGAGAACAUGAUUAUCUCACUUCAUCAAGGACAAGGAUACAAAUACGUUCAGGAGAUGAGAGAGAUCCUUCCUUUGGACCCAGGGCAUGUCACUCUCGGAUAAAUCAACUUUGCAACAGCAAGACCUGUUGCCAUUGGCCAACCAUGGAGGUGAAUUUCUUGAGUUAGACCUCUUACCUGUUAAUACUUUUGAUCCCUUGUUUUUUAUAACUGAUAUGCACUAUUUGAGGAAACAUGCAAGGCUGCAAGAAUAUUAUAAACGGAUGACAGCUUUUGCUAUGUGGAGAAUUCCCUACCAGAGGUUUGGAAUCCACUUGUACGUGGUUAGGCAUCGGUUGGAGUAGGACACAAGUCAACAGGAUCCAGUCAGGAUUGGUAACCUGUUGGAUCAGAUUAGGAAUGUUUUUCAAGUUUGGAUUGUUGCAAGAGUCUUAGGUAAUUCAUUAACAUGUUUAGGAAGGAGUCUGUGUUCAGUUGGAGUCUCACGUGCAAGGUCAUCCUCUUUAAAUAGAGGCAGCCACGGCUAAUCUAGCCAAGCUAUCAAUAAAUAAAUUCUUAGGCCUGAAUCCCCCUUCUAUCUCAUACAUCCAUUACCUUCCCUAACGACAGCAAGCUAAUGGCAUGACACUAGCCAGCCAGUGGUUCAUUGACCCGAGAGCACCUCUUGGGCACAGUAUCAACCUAAGGUCCAAGGGAUCUAACAGUUUUGAAAUGAAUGGACAAAGUGAUGGGUUUAGCCGAUGAUGAUGUUUUUUUUAUUCAUAUUGAUUCGGUGGUCUGCCAUCCAAUCCGAUGGCUCAAUUCAAUGUUCUGCCAUCCACGUCCUGCCCCGUAGAUGUCCUGCCCGCUGCCCAAUGUCGCUGAGCAGCGAGGCGGAGUUCCAGGCCAUCGAGGCCGCCUUCCCACGACGCCGGUGCCAGCGACGCCAAAACCGCCACCCCUGUCCGUCCUCGAGCGAACCUGGUCCCAACACCCGGCGGCGCUGCCUCACUGUCAUGGAUCCUCUCGCUUCCAACUUGCCAAGGUGCAGCUCCCCUCUUCUUGUUUCCCCUAUCCCCUUUCAUGCAAAAUUCUAAACCCCAAAAUACACCAAUCCACCCAUGUUGCGCUCGGUCAUGGAUAUUGCAUCCUUGCACCAGGAUCAACAUGGCAUCUGUAAUCCACCUGAAACCACACCCCCACCCUCCCCCCACCCCCUCCCCCCACCCCCAAUCCAACAACGCCCUCCAAAGAAGAGCACGCCCUCCAAAGAAGAGCAGCUAAAAAACAGGUAAUCUCCCGAUCUAACUACUGCUUCUCAUCCUUCUACAUGGCGCAAAGUACAAAAAUUACCGACGAGGUUGACAACUAGACCCAUCCUACGUGGGUUGUGUGUCUUCGCAGUUGUCAAGCAGAGCACACUAGAUCUGCCAUGUACUGUGUUGGAGAUAACCGUAAGUUCUUUGUAGAUUGAUGCACGUAGUUGGUAAAUGGAUGGAUGUGUAGGAAUCCAUAAAAACAUAGAGAAAAUUUAGAAAUUUGGAAUAAUAUAGGGUGUCAAAAAUAAUUGCUACUAGUGUCUAACAUCAGUUGCCACCUAUCAUUGUCGUCAACUGCCACCAUGUCAACUUAUAGCUUGCUAUCCUAUUGUAGUGGCUGAUGCCAUCAAAUCGAACGAUUAGCUGACACUCAUAUUUUAGAAAAAGAUAGUGGAUGUAUAAUUCCUACUAGUCAUGAUAUGUUGGUUACCUACGCAUUGGAAAUGUGAUAACACUGAUGUGUUAACUUCUACAUGCAAGCAUCACAAGGAUACAUUUUUUGUGGAUUGGUGAUGCGUUCUU